GAAGUCGGCAAAGUAUGUGUUUCGCCACCGAGUUUUGUAGGCCUAAUUUGGGAAUGCAGUUGAGCACUCCCUUUUUACUCUCGCCCGAAGCGGCUCCCGUUCUCCCGCAUACGGCAUACCCCGUCACCGUGCGAUCUCUCCUUCUCCAGGUAUAUCUGUCAAAUUUAUGCGGUUUAUCGCUACAUUGUGGGCACACCAGGUGUUUGUUAAUAUGAGUCGCUAAUGAUUUUGCUCCUUUUUUUUUUUUGUUUAAAAAGUCCCCGAUUGUGGAGAUUCCUUAAUUUGGCUGCUAUAAACUAUAAAGAAAAAGUUGCUUAUAAGAUGAUUUUUGCUUCUGUUCUGACCCCGUUGAAGGGACGCGAUAUGCAGAAUUAUGAGUCGUCUUCUUUAUGUGAGCCAUGCUCAGUCAUAGUCCAUUAUCACAGUCCAACAAAAGCUCACCUGCACACCAAUGUAUAUUGACAUCGUAUAGGAAGAUUUGUUUGCACAAACACUUCUUUGAUAUCUGUGGUUAACUUGUAUAAGAGUUGAAGUUGGUGUAUUCUUUGUAAUCUCUAAUGUAAACUCUCGUAGGAAACAUUGUGUUUA